GAUGAAGAACGUAGCGAAAUGCGAUACUUGGUGUGAAUUGCAGAAUCCCGUGAACCAUCGAGUCUUUGAACGCAAGUUGCGCCCGAAGCCACUAGGCCGAGGGCACGCCUGCCUGGGCGUCACACGCCGUUGCCCCCCCAUCUACUCCUUCGGGAUUGCGGGGGGGCGGAUGAUGGCCUCCCGUGCGCCUAGCCGCGCGGUUGGCAUAAAUACCAAGUCCUCGGCGACGCACGCCACGACAAUCGGUGGUUGCGAAACCUCGGUUGCCCGUCGUGUGCGUUCGUCGCGCAUCGAGGGCUCGAAAAAAUGCUCGGCUCCGGCUGGACUUUCAACGCGACCCCAGGUCAGGCGGGGUUACCCGCUGAAUUUAAGCAUAUCAAUAAGCGGAGGA
rnacentral:misc_RNA from 1 species